UUUUGCUAGAACAGUGUAGAGCCUGGGGAAUUUACACUUCACUCUUAUCCCUCUAUCACAACAGAGCUCUGGUCUUGUGAGCAGCAAAGGACUCACCAGUCACCAGCUCCAGAGUUCCAGCCAGCUGCAGACCCCUCCCACUGUUUAUAUGAAGCAGUUUUACAAAAGCAGAGAUCCUGCCAUUCCUCCUGACAGGUCCAGUUGCACACUCCAUGUAUCAUGGUCAUCUGUGGAUGAUGCUUGAGAAAACAUCAGUGAAAGAGAGAGGGGCUGAGAGGUGCAAUAUAGCUGAGCUCAAAGGGACAGCAGCAAGGAUUCUGCUGAAACUUCACUCAAAAUCUUCAUCACUCCUGGGAAGGCUGGACCAGCUAGAAAGAGUGUUUUCUCCAAGGCAAAGUGACAGCACUGCAAAUUGAAGACAGACUUUGAGAAAGAUUGGAGAAUGCAAUGAAUUGACACCAAGCAUGAAGCUCAUGACAGGCUGACACAAGAAUUAAAGGAAAACUCAUUCACUGGAGAAGCAAACAGGUGGACAUCUCUACUGGAAUUGAAAAACUCAGAUGGAAAAAACCUGACACAACAAAACCUGGGGAACAAAAAGGGAGAGCACUCUGAAGGGUUUCAGGAGCUCCAGACACAAAGUUUGAACAAAUGACAUCGAAGAAAUAUCUUCUAACACAGUCACUUUCCUUGGAGACUGAAAGGUUGAUUGGGUUAGCUGUCUCUAAGGAACACUGAGGCCAAGAGGACUGUUCUAGAACCACUUUAAUAUAAACAUGAUACCCAGUUUGUUCUAGGUUACCUUCAUGGGGCUUGUGUCCAGGAAUUUGAUACUGCUGAGUCCCAGAAUGGACCAACUCCUCCUCCUCCUCCUCCUCUGAGAGCACAGGUUCUCCAUGAUGUGUUUCAGCCAGGACACUGCUGACCUUGAGGGCUGUGUGCAGUUUUAGGCACCGCAGUGCAAGGGAGAUAUUAAACUAUUAGACAGUAUCCAAAGCAGAGUAACCAGGACAGUGAAGGGUCUGGAGGCCACAUGAGCACUGAAGGCACUUGGUCUGUUCAGCCUAGACUGAGGAGAGACCUCAUUGCAAUUACAGCUUCCUCAUGAGAGGAAGAAGAGGGGCAGGCAGGUUCUCUGCCCUGUGGUGACAGUGACAGGGAAUGAAUGGCCUGAAGUUGUGCCAGGGGAGGUUUAGGUGGGAUACCAGAAAAGGUUUUUCACCCAGAGGGUGUUUGAGCACUGGAAAAGGCUCCCCAGGGCAGUGGUCACAGCACUGAGCCUGGCAGAGUUCAAUACGUGGGGACAAUGCUCUCAGGGACAGGGUGUGACUCUUGGGGUGUCCUGUGCAGGGCCAGGAGCUGGAUGUGAUAAUCCUUGUGGUUUCCUUCCCUGUGAAAUUUCAGAGGAACAAAACC
rnacentral:lncRNA from 1 species